AGACUACUUCGUGCAGAAUCUGAAGCUAUGUUGAGCUGUUAGUGACUGCUAAUCGGAUCCUAGGAUGUGUUUUUUCUUUUCUAUGCCAGCCCAACCAUUAAACUGUGGAGAAGGAAGGUGGAGAGUGCCUGUAUAUGGAAAGAAGAAAAGCUAACUUCAUGGCUUUCUUGUAUUAACUGAGGCUUCCAGUUUAUAAAUGGAGAAAGAAUGAUGGAACCAGAUCAUUAUCAUUUUGCAACAGCUGAUAAAAUAGUGGGCACAGACAACAACAGUUAAUGGCUACUGACAUCACAAAGAGACUAUCAGACAUUAUAGGCUUCCUUUUGGAAUAUACAACACCAGCACGAAAUAUUUCUGCCAAAUAAUCUAACCUCAUUGUAUUCAAGUCUCUGCUCCUUACAGAAGCUCUCUCUUUAUCUAAACUGGGAGGCAGCUGGGAAUUUGGA
rnacentral:lncRNA from 1 species